UACAGAGGUGCCAAGCGUUAGGCGGAAUCACUGGGCUUAAAGCGCGUGUAGGUGGGUCGUUAAGUGUCCGCGUGAAAUCCCACGGCUCAACCGUGGAACUGCCGGGCAUACUGGCGAUCUUGAGGCAUUCAGGGGCGAGCGGAACAAGUGGUGGAGCGGUGAAAUUCGUAGAUAUCGGGAGGAACACCAGUGGCGAAGGCGGCGAUCUGGGAAGAUACUGACGCUGAGGUGCGAAAGCGUGGGGAGCAAACAGG
rnacentral:rRNA from 1 species